rnacentral:rRNA from 1 species
GAAUAUUGGACAAUGGGGGCAACCCUGAUCCAGCCAUGCCGCGUGCGUGAAGAAGGCCUUUUGGUUGUAAAGCACUUUAAGCAGUGAAGAAGACUCCAUGGUUAAUACCCAUGGACGAUGACAUUAGCUGCAGAAUAAGCCACGGCCAACUUUGGGCCAGAAGCCGCGGUAAGACAGAGGGUGCAAGCGUUAAUCGGAAUUCCUGGGCGUAAAGCGAGCGUAGGUGGCUUGAUAAGUCAGAUGUGAAAUCCCCGGGAUUAACCUGGGAACUGCAUCUGAUACUGUUAGGCUAGAAUAGGUGAGAGGAAGGUAGAAUUCCAGGUGUAGCGGUGAAAUGCGUAGAGAUCUGGAGGAAUACCGAUGGCGAAGGCAGCCUUCUGGCAUCAUAUUGACACUGAGGUUCGAAAGCGUGGGUAGCAAAC